CAACCCUCAUUAGUCUAAACACAACUCACAAAAUAAACUUUCUUCCUUCUCUCUUCUUUCUCUCUCUAUUGGAAGACACCAUUGAAGACAAGCUAGGGGGAGGUUUUGGAGAUGGAAAGGGACGAUUUCACCAUCAAAUAUUCAUCAAACAUUGAGGUUUCGAUCGUUGAAGGCUCAUUCGAGACGACUUGAAGAAGGCUUGAAUAAUCUCUAUCAUCCAAGUGGGUAGGUCAUCACUUUCCGAGGGCGAUACCAAUAUCUUGCUUAAGGAGUUGCUUUGUUUUUCUAAGACUCUUAUUAAGUUCAAUCCACUUCCAUUUGAGUAUGAUUUGUAUAAGCCUAUAUGUGGCUUCUUUACAUUGAUGUAGGGCAAUGCCCAAAUUGCUAUGAUCAUUUAGAUGGUAUGAGAUGAGACAAUCUUUGAGACUA